GAACCAAGUUUAAAAAGAAGAAUCAUGAUCUCUCCCAUCCACAGAUGGGAUAUGUUAAGUACCGUUAAUAUUAGAGUAUAUUUUUAGCUAUUCCUUUGUGGGAUUUCUAUGUGUAAGAUCCAUGAUGGGAUCAUAUUAUAUAUGAUUCUGUUUGGUUACUGUCUGUUCUUUAUUUUUUUCUUGCACAUGGCAGGCCUGAAAUAUAUAUAUAUAAUUCUAGUGCUCAUGUACUGUGGUUUCCUGUCCCUCAGUGUGUUUACUGGCCUCUUGUCUUGUUUUUCAGUAGAUGAAUACAUUGCCAUUGCUAAAGAGAAGCAUGGGUACAACAUGGAACAGGCUCUUGGGAUGCUCUUUUGGCAUAAGCAUAAUAUUGAAAAGUCAUUGGCUGAUUUGCCCAACUUUACCCCCUUCCCAGAUGAGUGGACUGUGGAAGAUAAAGUCUUGUUUGAGCAAGCCUUUAGUUUUCAUGGGAAAACUUUUCAUAGAAUCCAACAAAUGCUUCCUGAUAAAUCUAUAGCAAGUCUGGUGAAAUUUUACUACUCCUGGAAGAAGACAAGGACUAAAACCAGUGUGAUGGACCGCCACGCUCGGAAACAGAAGCGGGAGCGGGAGGAGAGUGAGGAUGAACUGGAAGAAACAAAUGGAAAUAACCCCAUUGACAUUGAGAUUGAUCAAAACAAGGAAAGCAAAAAGGAGGUGCCCCCUACGGAGACAGUUCCUCAGAUCAAAAAGGAGAAACAUAGUACGCAAGCUAAAAAUCGAGCAAAAAGGAAACCUCCGAAAGGAAUGUUUCUUUCUCAAGAAGACGUGGAGGCUGUUUCUGCCAACGCCACUGCGGCCACCACGGUGCUAAGGCAGCUAGACAUGGAGUUGGUCUCCAUCAAGCGGCAGAUUCAGAAUAUUAAGCAGACGAACAGUGCUCUUAAAGAAAAACUUGACGGUGGAAUAGAACCGUAUCGGCUUCCAGAGGUCGCUCAGAAGUGUAACGCACGCUGGACCACGGAAGAGCAGCUUCUCGCAGUACAAGCCAUCAGGAAAUACGGCCGAGAUUUUCAGGCAAUCUCAGAUGUGAUUGGGAACAAAUCAGUGGUACAAGUGAAAAACUUUUUUGUAAACUAUCGACGCCGCUUCAACAUAGAUGAAGUUUUACAAGAAUGGGAGGCGGAACAUGGGAAAGAAGAGACCAAUGGGCCCAGUAGCCAGAAACCUAUCAAGUCCCCAGAUAAUUCUAUCAAGAUGCCUGAAGAGGAAGACGAGCGUGACCAGGCUCCACACCUGGAUGCAGGCCUCUGCUCGGCCCCGGACUGUGGCAGUGACGAGGUGAGCCCGCCACCUUGGCGCCUCUGGCCCGCGGAGCGUGGACGCAGCUCUGCCCUCGGCCCCUCGGAGUGGUAGGAAGAACACCGGCCGCCUCUGCACUCUCGUUUCUUAGCCAGAACGUAGGACUUGGUUAGAGAACCGCUGUACGAGCCCCGCUUCCAAAUCCAGUGUUCCCUCGCCGCAUUUAGGGUUGCCUGACCCGCGGAUGGGGCCCUCCACGGUGUGACUCGGCCGGGGUGGAAGGGGCUCCGGGAGACUUGUGCGAGUUCCUCGCCGGCCGCGAGCCUGUGUGGGACACAGGCCGUCUCAGUGGCUGAGACCCGAGGGCGGCACCCGGGAGGGGCGCACAGAGGCUCAGAAGCCUCGGUGUGUGAUUUGCAGAGGUGACUCCUACCCCGCACCCCGGGCUCUCCUGCCAGGAGGUGGAGGAAGGGAGACCGGGGGAGUGCAGGCGCAGGGGGAGCGGAGGGGAGGGCCGGGCUGAGGAAGGGAGGGAGGUGGCCCACCGCCCGCACGGCUGGGCGUCUGCCCGCCCGGCUGCUUGCGCUCGGCCUCCAUCGCCUGGGAGGAGUGGUGAGCACCGAGGACAGGAGGCGGAGGGAGUUAGCGCCGUGCGAGACCUUUCCAGAGGCCGGCCCGGACCACCGUGCGCGUCCGGAAGCGGGGAGACAGGUCAUGGGUACCCGCGUGAAGGGGGCUUGACGUGGGCCCAGCUCGUCUCUCGGGCCACGUCCCGCGUGGCCCCGCUUGGGCAGGUGUACCUGACGGCACCCGAGUGGGAGGCGGUGGGCGGGCAGCCCCUGGUAGCGGGGGUGGGGGUGCCAGUCUCCGCCUGCGGGCCCCGGUGGCGACCAGCUGGAAACGCUCCCGUCCCUUCUCGCCCCCACUCCUGUUCCUUGGGAUCACGUCCAGAGUCACAGAGCCCACGGACCCUCGUCCCAGUCUCUGCUUUCUGGCGCGUUCCAGGCCAGGGCGGCACACGAAGGCGGGAAAAACUGCCCGAUGCCCGCAACUGUGGCGCGGGCUCGAGCCCUUCUGUAGAAGGGAGAGACCUGGAGAGCACUGGCCGACCUACUCGGCCGGUGGCAGCACCCCUCGAACCCCGGCUUCCCGUGGCCGCCUCCGUGCCGGCUCCAUCCGGAGAACGCACGGACCGGCGGCCGGCCUGCUGCUCGCAGGGGCUCGCGGUUCUGUUCCCCAAACCCCCGCGCUCUGUGCCUCCGGGUUCCGUGGACCACGGCUGUGUGCCGACUCCCGGGGGCACGGGGCGUGUGGAACAUUCCUACCGGCCGACUCUCUUUCCUUCUCAGCGGAGCUCCGUCCACACUCGCUCCUCCUCGAAGGCGCUCAGCGCAGGGCAUCGUCGGGCCGGCGGAGCUCGCGGUGUCCCGGCGGACCCCAGGCCUGGGCGGGAUGACAGGUCCUCCGGGGCAGCCUCCCGGGCACACGUUGCCCAGAGCAGGGCCACGGUUGCAGCCAGACCCCGAAGCCACGUCCGGCGACCCCCCUCCUUCAGCCUGUGCUCCCUGCACCGUGUCCCCCGCCUGGGCCCCGUUGGCACCUGUGGCCUGACCGCGCUCGCCCCGGCUCCGCUCCUGGGUCCUCCUGGGUCCGUCGGCAUCCGGGACAUCCCUCCCUGCUCCUUCGCCCGGGUUCUCCCCCGUGGCGUCCGCACCGCUGCGUCUCUGGUCACCGCACCCGAAGCCCCGAAUUCCCCCUCGGCGUCCCCUUCCUGCCCCCGGUGGCCAGUGACCGCCCGAGCCCUUUCCAGCCACUCAUCUUGACCCGGCGCCCCCUUCCGCUCCCGUCACACUCCCCGUCCCCCAAGCGCAGCAGGGCUCCGGCUCAGGGCCGGCCAUUUGCCUUCUAGAGAAACACGCUGCACUCACGUGCCACGUGACACUCCUGCAUCAGGGACGUUUCCGCGUGCUUUGCUCUGCCGCAGGGCCGCCCCCUUCCUCCUGGCACCCGCCCGCACCACGUUCACCUCUCUGGACCGCGACGAAAUGACUGAGAGUUGUUAUUCUAUGCUUUGAAACAGCACGGCCGCGUCCAGUUGGUUUGCACCUCCGUUGGCUUCACGGUCCCCUGCUUAUGACCGAUGAUUUGUUUCUACUGCCCUCAGUCACUGGUCACCGACCGGCAUAACCCGGUGAUGUAGCCAGUGUAGCCGUGGCAUGGAUAUCUAGCAUGGGAAUUUCUGGGUCAAAAGAGCUGUCUAUUCUCACACUUGACCCUGAUUGCCUUGUGGAGACGUAGCACCGUCCUGCACUUCUGUCCCCCUUCCUGACACUGUGGCAACCAAGCGCUCGAUCUGAGGUGUUUGCUGAGCUCUUCGGGGCACUCAGGUUGUCAGAGAGUCCGGCCUGGGGCUGGGCAGGCGCUCGCGUUGGGCCCGAGGAGAAGCUUGGCUGCAGGGUCCGCUGAUUCCCCCGCACAGACUCGGUUUUGUUAUUUCGUGUGCGGUGGCUCAUGGCACUUAAUCGAUUGAAAAUAAAUUUAGCAGCAAUUAAGUCGCAUAUUGUGGAUAAUCAUGUGUAGCAAGUUGUGGGUCUUAGUAAUGACUGCUUAAUACAUUGAAGGUUGCCUUGCCCCCCAAAGUAUGCGUUAUUUGAUUAAUGCUCGUAGCAGCCUUCGGGGCGGGACUUGCCGGGUCAUUCGGCCGGCUGGGAGGCGGUGGGUGGCCCUUGACACGGAAUCCCUCACGGGGCCUCCACGGCUGCUGGAAAGUGGGCCGGGCUGGGGCCGACUGGGGUGCGCCUCUUCAGUUGGGUCACAGCCUCGCCCGCCCUCCCGAGCCUCCGUGCAGCCCCCAAGGCCGUCCUGCAUUAGAGGCCCAAGGGCCACUGCUGGGAUGUCCGUGAGCAAGGCCUGCGACCCCGGGGGAGCCACCGGGAGACCUCGGGAGUGACCCAGGGGGGCCAAAGGACUGUGCAGAUGAGCCCAGCCCGUCCCACAGGAUCGUGAGCUGGUGGAAGGACUGCUGUCCAAAGCCCCUGAACGUGGGAGUGGUUGGUUGCCAGCAGCAGACGCUGGGACGUGG